CCCUUUCUCGACUUUUGCCGACAAAAACUAAGUGAAGCGAAAUCUUCGAUUCUGGUUGAUUUCCGUUACUCUGCGAAGAGAGAUGAGUCGAAAAUCAAUCUAUGAUCCAUUGUUAUCAUUAGGGUUCUUAGAAUUGGGAUUAUUGUAAUGCAAAAUUAGGGUUAUUAGAAUUGGGAUUAGGGUAAUGCAAAAUUAGGUUUCUAUGAUCCGUUUGAUAUAUAGAACAGUAAGAAUUGAUGUGGUCAGAUUGAGAAUUGGUAAUUGAUCUUUUUGAGAAUUGGUAAUUGUCUCUAAGACUUCUUCUUCUUACUCUCAAGUAAGCUUCUUUCUUUGAUCUUCCUCGUUUAGUUUCGUUUCUAAUCGUAAACUUUCUUUGAUUCAUUAUAAUUUGCUUGUUAUGAGAUCGAUAAAUCCAAUUGUUCCAGUUCUAUUGUAGAUAGUUCAAUUUUGAUUAUAGCUAUGGUAUCGUUGCGUUGAGUUACCGAUCUUCUAUUAUUUCUCCUUUUCAUAUUGUUGUUUGGUUUUAAACAUUGUCAUAAUCUGUUCAAUUUCUCCAAGAUGUUCCUACGUUGGUUGAGUCUCUAUGAUUAAAAAUCUGUUCAAUUUCUCAAAGUUUUUUUUUUAUUUGUUUGUUUUGAUUAGUAUAGCUUUUUUUGCUUUUUUUGUGGAAUGGUAUGUGUGUUAGAGAAAUGGCUGAAUCUAAGGUAGUAGUUCCAAGAGUCUGUGCUAAAAAUGAUCAAGAGGCAAGUGGAAUGGACAUUGGUCAACAAAGAUGAAGCUGUAGCUGCUAAGAAGAAGAGUGUUGAGACCCGCAAGCUCAUCUUCAAGAGAGCUGAGCAGUAUGAGAGAGAGUAUGCUGAGAAGAUAAUGAGUUGAUCCGAUUGAAGAGGGAGGCUAAGUUGAAAGGAGGCUAAGUUGAAAGGAGGAUUCUAUUCUUAAAGAACAUUUUCAUACAAUGGAGUACAAACAGAUAAGUCUUUCAUUAAAAUCUUAUUCAUUCAUUUAUCUCUCUAUUGGGUAAGAGUAUAGAUGUAGGCUAGGGGAAGAUAGUAUCUUGUCAUAUUAAUUCUUCAUUGCCUACACACAUAAAAUUUCUUGUUGAAAACAAUUUAUAAACAUAGAUUAUCUCAAAUCCAAAUCCAACUAAUACUUAAACAAAGCUUUCCAGAAGAAACACAAUUAUAUAUAUAUAUAUUUUUAUGAAGAGGAAUGUAUACAAUAGUGUAAUUUAGUACUAAAACGCAGCUAAAGGCCUUACAUAGAAGGAUUGAAACAAAACCAUUUAUGUGUUUCCUUUUUAUUGCCACUCUUUCAUCCAACAGAUCGGAGCUAGACUCUAUCGUUGCCAAGCAUGUUUUUUGUUAUCUACAAAUCUGCAGAAAAAAAUGAAUUUGGAAACUAACAAUAAUAUUUGAGUUUAGAAUCUCACCAUUUUUGGCUGUGUAUUGCCAUGAUGCAGGAUCUUAACUUGGACUCGUCAUGCAAUUUUGUAAAGCCGUCUCCAACCAUGGAGAUAUUAAAAAGCUUUCAUCCUCAAUGUAAAAGUAGCACUACUUGAUGGUUUUGUGGUACGCCGAUUUUUUGUUUCAAGAACACUCAAAAAUCGACCAUGGGGUCCAACUUUUUUGUUUUUUGGUCGUCCAACAGGAGCUUUUCUUUUUACCCCACGUGCAUUUGGAACAUCAUUGUCUUCUUCUUCUUCUUCUUCCACAAGUUCAACAUCUGAAGUUUGGAGCAUCCAUGCAUUAGCUUUCAGAAGUUCCUUUUUUUUUUCCUCCAAUUUUUUAAGCAACUGAAUGGCAUCUUCAUUUGCACACAAUGUCAUUUCUAUAUGAUCAGCAGCAACAUAUGCAAUCUCACGGAAAGUAUGACAUAUAUGGCUAUAUCGCUUUCCAAUCGAUUGCUUGACUGUUUCAUUAGGUGACUCUGAAUGAUAAUAAGAUAUGUUUCGUGCUUUUGCCUCUUUA